AGAGUUUGAUCCUGGCUCAGAGCGAACGCUGGCGGCAGGCCUAACACAUGCAAGCUCGAACGGGCGUAGCAAUACGCUAGUGGCAGACGGGUGAGUAACACGUGGGAACAUGCCCUUCGGUUCGGAAUAACUCAGGGAAACUUGAGCUAAUACCGGAUAAGUCCGAGAGGAGAAAGAUUUAUCGCCGAAGGAUUGGCCCGCGUCUGAUUAGCUUGUUGGUGAGGUAAUGGCUCACCAAGGCGACGAUCAGUAGCUGGUCUGAGAGGAUGAUCAGCCACACUGGGACUGAUACACGGCCCAGACUCCUACGGGAGGCAGCAGUGGGGAAUAUUGGACAAUGGGCGCAAGCCUGAUCCAGCCAUGCCGCGUGAGUGAUGAAGGCCCUAGGGUUGUAAAGCUCUUUUAUCCGGGAAGAUAAUGACUGUUACCGGAAGAAUAAGCCCCGGCUAACUUCGUGCCAUCUAGCCGCGGUAAUACGAAG
rnacentral:rRNA from 1 species